UACGUAGGGUGCGAGCGUUAAUCGGAAUUACUGGGCGUAAAGCGUGCGCAGGCGGUUCGUUAAGUCAGAUGUGAAAGCCCCGGGCUCAACCUGGGAACUGCAUUUGAAACUGGCGGGCUUGAGUGUGGCAGAGGGGGGUGGAAUUCCGCGUGUAGCAGUGAAAUGCGUAGAGAUGCGGAGGAACACCGAUGGCGAAGGCAGCCCCUCGGUCGGCAACACUGACGCUCAGGCACGAAGCGUGGGGAGCAAAC
rnacentral:rRNA from 1 species